AAAAGGUAAAUAUUUUACCUAUGAGGUAGAUCGAGGUCGACGUGUGGGAUAGAGACAACAAAAACAAGAAAUAAUCGCACAAAAGGAUUAACUCAGAAGUCAAAAGAUGAACAACACAUAGAUAAGGUAAGUUAAUUAAACGAAUUAUCGCGAAUGUCUCAGUUUAUUCCUACGUUAGCCAUAUGUCGUUUGUCGUGUGGACUUGAUAAAAAAAAAACCAUUCGGGACAAAAUAAAACUAGGUCAUUCCCCCGUACUUGGUUUGUACAGAGCUAGGAGUGAUAGCAAUAAUAACCGGAGAGACAUCUAUGAUAUAGAUGUUUAUCUUAUUUAUACUAUCGAUUCAUUGAAAUUUUUCAAAUUUUCUUUGGAGCUUAUUUGCUACAUCAACGGUCUGUUCCAUUUAGUUGGCGGAUCUCGAUUUUGCGUUGUGUUGGAAUGUCAGGUAUGUUUACAAGGUGUCAUAAUUAAUGAUUCAUGCAUGAUAUGGCUCGGUUUACCUGCAUUGGGCUAACUAAAGUCGGGAUAACACACGUUUAAGGCCGUUAAUUUUUAUACACACACGUGUCACUGACAUGUAAUUUUUUGCUUUUACUUUUAGUGGAAAGAACAGUUUAUAAUCAGAUAAUUUAAGUUUACAAUGUUCAAACUAAGGCGUGUUGUUUUAGGAUUGGCUUUGUAAUGGAUAAUACACGUACAUGUACAUGUACGUCUUUGGUAUACUAUUGUUAUUACAACAUAUUGUAAUCAUUUAUCGUACCGGUAUUUACACUAUUUAAUGUUGACAUAACUAAAUGUGUACACAAUAUAAAGUUUUUAGUGCGAUGAUAAAAUGUUUC
rnacentral:misc_RNA from 1 species